AGUGGCGGACGGGUGAGUAACGCGUGAGAAUCUACCCUCAGGUCGGGGAUAACUCCUGGAAACGGGAGCUAAUACCGGAUGUGCCGAAAGGUGAAAGGUUUACUGCCUGGGGAGGAGCUCGCGUCUGAUUAGCUAGUUGGUGAGUUAAAAGCUUACCAAGGCGACGAUCAGUAGCUGGUCUGAGAGGAUGAGCAGCCACACUGGGACUGAGACACGGCCCAGACUCCUACGGGAGGCAGCAGUGGGGAAUUUUCCGCAAUGGGCGAAAGCCUGACGGAGCAAGACCGCGUGGGGGAGGAAGGCCUUUGGGUUGUAAACCCCUUUUGUCAGGGAAGAAGACAGUGACGGUACCUGACGAAUCAGCCUCGGCUAACUCCGUGCCAGCAGCCGCGGUAAUACGGAGGAGGCAAGCGUUAUCCGGAAUAAUUGGGCGUAAAGCGUCCGUAGGUGGCCCGGCAAGUCGGUUGUCAAAGACCUCAGCUCAACUGAGGAAAGGCAAGGGAAACUGCAAGGCUAGAGUGCGGUAGGGGUAGAGGGAAUUCCCAGUGUA
rnacentral:rRNA from 1 species